ACAACCAUACCAUGUUGAAAUACCAGUUCUCAUAUGAUCCCCGAAGUUAAGCAACAUCAGGUCUGAUCAGUACUUAAAAUGGUAACUGCUUGGGAAUAUCAAGUGCU